rnacentral:rRNA from 1 species
CAGGGUUCGAUUCCGGAGAGGGAGCCCGAGAAACGGCUACCACUUCCAAGGAAGGCAGCAGGCGCGCAACUUACCCUAAUCUCGAUUCGAGGAGGUAGUGACAAGAAUACCGAUGCGGGACCCUACGGGUGCCGCGUUCGGAAUGAGUACGAUUCGAACCACCUAACGAGGAACGAUCGGAGGGCAAGUCUGGUGCCAGCAGCCGCGGUAAUUCCAGCUCCAAUAGCGUACGUUAAAGUUGCUGCAGUUAAAAAGCUCGUAGUUGAACGUUCGGGUUCCGCGGACGGGGCCGCCCCGCGAGGGACGGCGCCGCCCCGGGGCUCGUGAUAUCUCAUCUCGCCGCCCGUCGCGAGGCGGACGGAGGGAUGGAUGAGGUUACCUGGAAAAAAAUCGGGGCGAUCUAGGCGGGCGAACCUCGCCAACGAACGAUCGGACAUGGG